rnacentral:rRNA from 2 species
GGUUAAGCGACUAAGCGUACACGGUGGAUGCCCUGGCAGUCAGAGGCGAUGAAGGACGUGCUAAUCUGCGAAAAGCGUCGGUAAGGUGAUAUGAACCGUUACAGCCGGCGAUGUCCGAAUGGGGAAACCCAGUGCAAUUCGUUGCACUAUCGUUAACUGAAUACAUAGGUUAACGAGGCGA